rnacentral:tRNA from 1 species
GCGGCCAUAGUUCAAUGGUAGAACAUUGGUUUGUGGUACCAAGUACCAGGGUCCGAUUCCCUGUGGCCGCC